CGGAAGUUUGCCAACUCUACCACCAGUUCAGUAGAGUUACAGCCAGAAAGUGCCAUUUGUGGUGCACUUUCAGAGGCUCAGCUGAUUUUAGAUUGAUGGGAAAGACCUAAGUGAUGUUGAAAACACAAGCACAAUAACCACAGGGACAUUGAACAGAGUCUGAG